rnacentral:sRNA from 1 species
GAGCCCUUCCAGGGUUAAAGUCCCA